rnacentral:tRNA from 1 species
GCGGAUGUAGCCAAAUUGGUAAAGGCGCACGGCUUAGAACCGUGUGGGGCAACCCAUGGAGGUUCGAGUCCUCCCAUCCGCA